rnacentral:rRNA from 1 species
UACGUAGGGGGCAAGCGUUAUCCGGAUUUACUGGGUGUAAAGGGAGCGCAGGCGGCGCGGCAAGUCCGAUGUGAAAACCCCCGGCUCAACCGGGGGACUGCAUUGGAAACUACCGGGCUGGAGUGCCGGAGAGGUAGGCGGAAUUCCUGGUGUAGCGGUGAAAUGCGUAGAUAUCAGGAGGAACACCAGUGGCGAAGGCGGCCUACUGGACGGUGACUGACGCUGAGGCUCGAAAGCGUGGGGAGCAAACAGG